GGACCCGCACAAGCGGUGGAGCAUGUGGUUUAAUUCGAUGCCAACGCGAAGAACCUUACCAGGGCUUGACAUACUGUGAAUCACUAUGAAAAUAGCCGAGCCGAAAGGCACAGAUACAGGUGGUGCAUGGCUGUCGUCAGCUCGUGUCGUGAGAUGUUGGGUUAAGUCCCGCAACGAGCGCAACCCUUAUCCUCAGUUACCUUCUAGGAACCUGAGGAGACUUGCCGGUGUUAAGCCGGAGGAAGGUGAGGAUGACCGUCAAGUCAUCAUGCCCCUUACAUCCUGGGCUACACACGUACUACAAUGCUACGGACAAAGGGCAGCAAGUUCGCGAGGACAAGCAAAUCCCAUAAACCGUGGCUCAGUUCAGAUCGUAGGCUGCAACUCGCCUACGUGAAGGCGGAAUCGCUAGUAAUCGCAGGUC
rnacentral:rRNA from 1 species